rnacentral:rRNA from 1 species
CCUACGGGUGGCUGCAGUGGGGGAUAUUGCACAAUGGGGGGAACGCUGAUGCAGCGACGCCGCGUGGGUGAAGGUGUAUUUUGGUAUGUAAAGCUCUAUCGGCAGGGAAGAAUUUAGACGGUACCUGACCAAGAAGCCCCGGCGAACGACGUGCCAGCAGCCGCGGUAAUACGUAGGGGGCAAGCGUUAUCCGGAUUCACUGGGUGUAAAGGGAGCGUAGACGGGCAGGCAAGCCUGGGGUGAAAGCCCGGGGCCCAACGCCGGGACUGCUCUGGGAACUGUCCGGCUGGAGUGCGGGUGGGGCAGGCGGAAUGCGUGGUGUAGCGGUGAAAUGCGUAGAUAUCAGGAAGAACACCGGCUGCGAAGGCAGCCUGCUGGACCGCGACUGACGCUGAUGCUCGAAAGCGCGGGUAUCGAACAGGAUUAGAUACCCGUGUAGUC